rnacentral:rRNA from 1 species
GAUGAACGCUGGCGGCGUGCCUAAUACAUGCAAGUCGAGCGAACAGACGAGGAGCUUGCUCCUCUGACGUUAGCGGCGGACGGGUGAGUAACACGUGGAUAACCUACCUAUAAGACUGGGAUAACUUCGGGAAACCGGAGCUAAUACCGGAUAACAUGUUGAACCGCAUGGUUCAACAGUGAAAGACGGUCUUGCUGUCACUUAUAGAUGGAUCCGCGCCGCAUUAGCUAGUUGGUAAGGUAACGGCUUACCAAGGCAACGAUGCGUAGCCGACCUGAGAGGGUGAUAGGCCACACUGGAACGGGGCCACGGUCCAGACUCCUACGGGAGGCAGCAGUAGGGAAUCUUCCGCAAUGGGCGAAAGCCUGACGGAGCAACGCCGCGUGAGUGAAGAAGGUCUUCGGAUCGUAAAACUCUGUUAUUAGGGAAGAACAAAUGUGUAAGUAACUAUGCACGUCUUGACGGUACCUAAUCAGAAAGCCACGGCUAACUACGUG